rnacentral:rRNA from 1 species
AGUCAACCUAACCUAUGGACGUGGAUAACCUCGGGAAACUGAGAAUGAACCGCGAUAGAUCAUUAUGCCUGGAAUGGCUUAUGGUUCAAACAAUUUAUUGCCAUAGGAUGGGACUGCGGCCUAUCAGCUUGUUGGUGAGGUAAUGGCCCACCAAGGCUAUAACAGGUACGGGCUCUGAGAGGAGAAGCCCGGAGAUGGGUACUGAGACACGGACCCAGGCCCUAUGGGGCGCAGCAGGCGAGAAACCUUAGCAAUGUGCGAAAGCACGACUAGGUUAAUCCGAGUGAUUUCUGUUGAAGAAAUCUUUUGUCAGUCGUAAAACCACAGACGAAUAAGGGGUGGGCAAGUCUGGUGUCAGCCGCCGCGGUAAUACCAGCACCUCGAGUGGUCAGGAGGUUUAUUGGGCCUAAAGCAUCCGUAGCCGGCUUUGCAAGUCUCCGGUUAAAUCCAGCUGCUCAACAGAUGGGCUGCCGGAGAUACUACACAGCUAGGGAGCGGGAGAGGUAGACGGUAUUCGGUGGGUAGGGGUAAAAUCCACUGAUCCAUCGAGGACCACCAGUGGCGAAGGCGGUCUACCAGAACGCGUUCGACGGUGAGGGAUGAAAGCUGGGGGAGCAAACCGGAUUAGAUACCCGGGUAGUCCCAGCUGUAAACGAUGCAAACUCGGUGAUGCAUUGGCUUAUGGCCAAUGCAGUGCCGCAGGGAAGCCGUUAAGUUUGCCGCCUGGGAAGUACGGACGCAAGUCUGAAACUUAA